ensembl:lncRNA
AACAAAUAGCAUUUUGCUACACAAGAUGUUAAUUGAUGAACUGGAGUUGUGGAUUACUACGAUUUUUUAUCAGCUGUUUGGACUCUCAUUCUAACGGCACCCAUUUACUGCAGAGGAUCCAUUGGUGAGAAAGUGAUGCUAAAGUUAUCCAAAUCGGUUCAGAUGAAGUAACAAAAUCAUCUACAUCUUUCAGCAAAUUUUCAUUUUUGGGUGAACUAUACUUUUAAAGGACUCGAAUCACUUAGUGGACUGCAGAAAAAAUUCAAUUCCAUAACAGCUGAUGGUGGUUUAUAAAGGUGAACGUUCUGCAGGUGUGUUCGCUUUUUUUUUUACCCAAAACUCCUAAAUGAGCCCAUCUGUUGAGAAGCUGUGUUGUUAUGCAGAGCUAAAAAUAGCCGUCUGUCUCCAUGGAGAGCUAAAGGUUGAAUGGAUGCCGGAUGGACAGGUGUUUGAUUGCUGUGGUUGUUGGCUGUGUGGGACCUGGUUAUAUGGGGCUGCUCAAGGGACUGCAGUAAUUAAAUUCGUACCUGUGGAGUCAUUGCACCGUACAGCAGAGCCCACAGAGGAGCUUAGAUGUCGGUGUUCAUGACACUGCAGUCAAACGAGUCUAUUAAAAUGCUUUCUGCGCUUCUGGAUGUUUCCUAUAAAGAAAGAAAACAAGAUGCAGGUCAGAUACCGCUUCUGUUUAGUUCUUCUGAAAGUCUACAGUUUCACAAGGAAAUGUCACCAAAGCAUUAUUCAGUCCAGUUCAGUUCUUUUUAGAGAUUUGGUAAAGCUUUGGUUGUGUUUGGACCUUGUCUUAAUUAAACUUCUUACAUCGCAAUAACUACUAUAUAAUUUAUUCCAGUUAAAUAUUUUUUUAUAAAAAAAAAAAAAAAAAAAAAAAAAUGAAAACGAAAAUAAAAAACAAUUACAUUUCUGAAUAAAACAUUAAAAUUUUCACUGUAAGGAACUAUUUCUACCUGUCUGUUAAAGCCAGGUUGAUUUCACCAUAAUAAAUAACAUUUUGACUUAUAUAUAAACUAUAAUAUAACCAACUACUUCAGUAAUUACAACACAAAAU